rnacentral:rRNA from 1 species
GGAGAAUCUUAGACAAUGGGGGAAACCCUGAUCUAGCCAUGCCGCGUGAUCGAUGAAGGCCUUAGGGUUGUAAAGAUCUUUCAGAUGGGAAGAUAAUGACGGUACCAUCAGAAGAAGCCCCGGCUAACUCCGUGCCAGCAGCCGCGGUAAUACGGAGGGGGCUAGCGUUGUUCGGAAUUACUGGGCGUAUAGCGCACGUAGGCGGAACAGAAAGUCAGAGGUGAAAUCCCAGGGCUCAACCUUGGAACUGCCUUUGAAACUCCUGUUCUUGAGGUCGAGAGAGGUGAGUGGAAUUCCGAGUGUAGAGGUGAAAUUCGUAGAUAUUCGGAGGAACACCAGUGGCGAAGGCGGCUCACUGGCUCGAUACUGACGCUGAGGUGCGAAAGCGUGAGGAGCAAAC